UACGUAGGUGGCAAGCGUUGUCCGGAAUUACUGGGCGUAAAGGGUGCGUAGGCGGUUUAUUAAGUCAGAUGUGAAAUUCCGGGGCUCAACUUCGGAAUUGCAUUUGAAACUGGUAAGCUAGAGUGCAGGAGAGGAAAGCGGAAUUCCUAGUGUAGCGGUGAAAUGCGUAGAUAUUAGGAAGAACACCAGUGGCGAAGGCGGCUUUCUGGACUGUAACUGACGCUGAGGCACGAAAGCGUGGGGAGCAAAC
rnacentral:rRNA from 1 species